UUCGUGCCCAAAGCCCCUUAUCAUUCUCCUGUCCGGUGUAGAAUUGUUAGACGACUGGACGGAGAACUGAUAAGGGCCCGAGGGUCACAGAA
rnacentral:pre_miRNA from 1 species